UCAACAAAUUUGGAGAAAGAAAGAAAACAAAGAAGAAGAAAACUUUGGAGGGCCAUUCGGCCAAGGCUAUGGAAAAUUAGCUCCUUGAAUUCUUGAUCAAAAAAAUAUUUUCUUCUAGUAUUUCCACUAAAUGGAAGGUGCUAAACAACAUGGAGUAAUUGUUGUAGCAAGCAAACCAUUCAUCCUUACCAUUCUCAACUCAAGUCAUGUUGAAGAACUAAGUGAAGAAGACUAACAAGUUGGACGAAUAAGUGUAGCUAGUAAGGCGCGGCACAGGUACACCCAGAUGAGCUGAAGCUAGCAUAGAAGAUGUUCCAGCGGAGUUGGUAGGCUCCACUUAUCCUGGAGUGCUGCCGAGUCAGAGUAUAUAUGCUAUGAUGCUUUGUUCGAAGUUAGAGACUUUGCAGACAGAGUCGUGGGUAUACAGUGUCGAUAUUAUGAUCGGCUCCACCAGCCGACGUGUCAUUGUGUUAUGUCAUAAAGUCCAUGUAAUUGCAUA